UACGUAGGCAGCGAGCGUUGUUCGGAGUUACUGGGCGUAAAGAGUGCGUAGGCGGUUUCUAAGUUUGGAUGUGAAAUCUCCCGGCUUAACUGGGAGGGUGCGCCGAAAACUGGAAGGCUUGAGUUAUGGGAGAGGUAAGCGGAAUUCCUGGUGUAGCGGUGAAAUGACGUAGAUAUCAGGAGGAACACCUGCGGUGUAGACGGCUUACUGGACCAUAACUGACGCUGAGGCACGAAAGCGUGGGUAGCAAACAGG
rnacentral:rRNA from 1 species